CCUACGGGAGGCAGCAGUGGGGAAUAUUGGGCAAUGGAGGCAACCCUGACCCAGCAACGCCGCGUGAAUGAUGAAGGUCUUCGGAUUGUAAAGCUCUGUGAUGGGGGAUGAACAUAAUGACGGUUCCCUAAUCACAAGCCACCGCUAACUACGCGCCAGCAGCCGCGGUAAUACGUAGGUGGCAAGCGUUAUCCGGAGUGACGGGGCGUAAGGGGAGCGUAGGUGGUUGAGUAAGUUGGCGGUGAAAGUCCGGGGCUCAACCUCGGCGCUGCCGCCGCAACUGGUAGACUUGAGUGCAGGAGGGGUAAGUGGAAUUCCAGGUGUAGCGGUGGAAUGCGUAGAUAUUAGGAGGAACACCAGGGGCGAAGGCGGCUUACUGGACUGUAACUGACGCUGAGGCACGAAAGCGUGGGUAGCAAACAGGAUUAGAUACCCCAGUAGUC
rnacentral:rRNA from 1 species